rnacentral:rRNA from 1 species
CAUUAUUGAAUAAACCUGAUGUAGUUGUAGCUGGCUCCUAGGAGCAUGUGCACGCUCGUCACUUUUAUCUUUCCACCUGUGCACCCAUUGUAGGCCUGGAUAACCCUCGCUUGGUUUCAAGCGGACGCGAGAAUUGCUGCUGCUCUUUCUGCAAGGAAAGGCCGGCUUUUUUCGAAUUUCCAGGUCUAUGUUUUCUUACAUACCCCAAUUGAAUGUUACCGAAUGUUAUCAAUGGGCAUAUGCCUAUAAAACACAAUACAACUUUCAGCAACGGAUCUCUUGGCUCUCGCAUCGAUGAAGAACGCAGCGAAAUGCGAUAAGUAAUGUGAAUUGCAGAAUUCAGUGAAUCAUCGAAUCUUUGAACGCACCUUGCGCUCCUUGGUAUUCCGAGGAGCAUGCCUGUUUGAGUGUCAUUAAAUUCUCAACUUCACCAACUUUGUUGUUGAAGCUUGGAUGUGGGGGUUUUGCAGGUCUGCCUUAAUUGUGUGGUCUGCUCUCCUGAAAUAUAUUAGCGGGUUGGCUUCCCUCUAUCAGUGUGAUAAUUAUCUACGCUGUGGAUGGGUUUGGCUUUCAGACCAGCUUCUAAUCGUCCUUCUAGGACAAUCUCUUGACAUUUUUGACCU